CAAGGAAUUUUCCGCAAUGGGCGAAAGCCUGACGGAGCAACGCCGCGUGCAGGAUGACGCAUUUCGGUGUGUAAACUGCUGUUCGGGGGGACGAAGCACUGACGGUACCCCCGGAGGAAGGCCCGGCUAACUACGUGCCAGCAGCCGCGGUAAUACGUAGGGGCCAAGCGUUGUCCGGAGUUACUGGGCGUAAAGCGUGCGCAGGCGGCUCGUUGCGCCCGACGUGAAAGCCCCCGGCUCAACCGGGGAGGGUCGUCGGGGACGGGCGAGCUUGAGGGUGUCAGGGGCUGGUGGAACUCCCGGUGUAGUGGUGAAAUGCGUAGAGAUGGGGAAGAACACCCGUGGCGAAGGCGGCCAGCUGGGACACACCUGACGCUGAGGCACGAAGGCGUGGGGAGCGAACGGG
rnacentral:rRNA from 1 species